rnacentral:rRNA from 1 species
GAUGAACGCUGGCGGCGUGCCUAAUGCAUGCAAGUCGAGCGAACAGACGAGGAGCUUGCUCCUCUGACGUUAGCGGCGGACGGGUGAGUAACACGUGGAUAACCUACCUAUAAGACUGGGAUAACUUCGGGAAACCGGAGCUAAUACCGGAUAAUAUAUUGAACCGCAUGGUUCAAUAGUGAAAGACGGUUUUGCUGUCACUUAUAGAUGGAUCCGCGCCGCAUUAGCUAGUUGGUAAGGCAACGGCUUACCAAGGCAACGAUGCGUAGCCGACCUGAGAGGGUGAUCGGCCACACUGGAACUGAGACACGGUCCAGACUCCUGCGGGAGGCAGCAGUAGGGAAUCUGCCGCAAUGGGCGAAAGCCUGACGGAGCAACGCCGCGUGAAUGAUGAAGGUCUUCGGAUCGUAAAACUCUGUUAUUAGGGAAGAACAAAUGUGUAAGUAACUAUGCACGUCUUGACGGUACCUAAUCAGAAAGCCACGGCUAACUACGUG